AGUCAGGACAAUACCUCACACCCGUGGACAAAUGGUACUAUCAUUGGUACUGCUGAAAUUGUUGUGGCAGUGAGGUCCAUACAGAACACUCAAUGGACAGCAGGGUCCUGCCUGGAACAGAACAUCAUCAAUAGCAGUGUCACUUCUCAUUGAAACACCACGGAUCACCUCAAAAAUAAUCUGUAAAGGGAAUUACAGCAAACUGCACAGUGAUGGUCUGAACAUCCAUAAGAUUCACAAAGUAUUUUACAGGAUGCUGUGGGCAUCUGUGGGGAGGGGCUGAUGCUCUAGAGUUCCUUCCCCUGUGCCUCAGCAGUCUCUAGUACCACUGGAAGAAGUCUCAGUUGUGGAUCUUCUGCCCAGAGCCAGAUAUAUGAACUACCCAGAACCAAUGAGGAUCACUUGGUAUCAAAAGCAAAAGACACCUCCUUCUGAAUACUCCAAUCUAAGGGAACAGAAAGAGAUGGAUGCCAAUCAAUGUCAUGAAUGUUUAGGCAUCUAGGAGAUUCAGGAAACAGUAUUUUGCUUCAUACAAGGUAUCUAACUGCUGAUUACAAAGAACAAGAAUUUUGAUACAUUUUAGCUUCCCUGGGCUUUGUGUUUUAACUAAUAUAGCCAGUCAAAGUCUUCUUUGUAACUGAGUCCAAGUCAGUGUACAAUCUAAUACAUCUGGAUUAAUUUCUGGGCAUUGAGGUCACCCAGAAUAGGCACAGGGCUCUGCCAUUUGUCUGGCCAAGUCCACUCUUCACAUUUGUCAUGUCCUGGUGGCCUCUCUGCUUCCCCUUGUUACACAAUGGUAACAAAUUAAUUCCUUCAGGCAUCCCCUUCAAACACUCCCAAGCUGCCCUGAGAUACUUGUCAUCACAGAUGCUAGGACCUUAUUCUUAACAAAAGCCCCAAAUAUUUCUAUCUUUUUUUCUAGAUUACAUUUGAAGUGAAAAGCUAAUGAGAAUUUUGGUUAAUUUUAGCACUUAUUUCAAUAUCAUUCCAGUGAGUAUCCAGUAUUAUUCUUGGGUAAUUGCUCACAAAGGAAUUUAGCACACCCCACUUGAACGGUAAGGCACAUUUAUCAAGACUGAAAUAGAACCUCAGAUAUAAAUGAGUCAAUGAAAAAAUCUACCAAUCUGGCCCUGACAGUUCACAACACUGUUUUCUUCAGGAUGCCCUAACUGACUACUUUUUCGUGGUAAGUAAGCAAAGUAAGCAAAAACUCGUCAAAACUUUCCCAAGUAAUAUAGUUUAUGGCCUCUCAUUAAUUUUUUUCUAUUAUUAUUUUUUCUCCUAAAGGAUUACUAAGGCUACUAAGUCUUAUUCUACUUUCUCUGUAUCCUAAAUAUCCUAGGGUGAUGACAUAGACAUUAAUGAAGUUUAGGUAAAUCCAUAAACCACCAUUUGAAUUAACUUACCCUAGUAC